ACAUUUAUCUUUUGAUAUCUCCAUUAAAGAUAUUCUUAUCAGUUUAAUAUAUGAUACGUAGAGUCGUUGACCAAUGAUUCACAUGAUGUUAAAUUAAUUUCUUUAAAAUGAGAGCCUACUACAAUAUACUAUUGAGGUUCUCACACGUCGCGCAAGCGUUGCACUAUUGCUCGGAUCCGGCGCACUCCAU